CGGCCGGGCCCGGCGUGCGGUGAGGGCGCUGGCCUGGUUUGCUCCGCCAUGCCCGAGCCUCUGGCAGAUGGGAAGGGGCACUGCAAAGGCAGAGGGGGUGUUGAGCCUCAUGGAGACUUGAUGUGAUGGCUGUGAUUAAUUGUGAUUCACGAGGGCAGUUGCCUGGGUUGCUCCAUCAUAUGUGCCCCUCUGACAGGGGAGAAUGGUUGAGAUUUGUCAGAAGUUGUCCUGGGAACCUGCUGUGAUUUCAGUGUACUAGCAGAAACCUGUCUUCUGCUAACGAUGUCCCUCUCCAUGCUGCUCCCUGUGAUCCCUUGUCCAAGCUACAGCAUUCACAUCACCCUGCAACAGCAGCUCUGGUCUUUCUCAGAGCUAGCAGGAGUGAUAAAUUGGUGCCCUGCCAACUUAGAGACAGAGGGUGUUAUAUUUUUCUUUCCCUUGGUAUGAGGCAUUUGAUGGUAGUCCAUGUUUAAUGUAAUUGGGUGCUUUUGUCUGCAAGGGCUGCAUUCACCACCUGACAGCUUAUGUUAUCCUACCACAAUCAUUAAAAGUAAGGAAGCCUCUCCUUAGAGAGCAGUUGUCAAGUAUGGGAAGAUGGCCUUCUGCGUAAGGAGAGUGGGAUACAAGUCUUGGCUCUCGCCUGUCAUCCAGAAAGCUUCGGUAAUGUAUUGGCAGCCUGUAAAGUGGGGAAGGGGCAUCUUGGAUGCUGCAGCACGGUGUGUAUUUCUGUACUGUUUAGAGCCUAUUUUUAAUAAAAUCUAAGUA